rnacentral:rRNA from 1 species
UCANCCAUAGUGUGCUCUGGAAACUGUCUGACUUGAGUGCAGAAGGGGAGAGUGGAAUUCCAUGUGUAGCGGUGAAAUGCGUAGAUAUAUGGAGGAACACCAGUGGCGAAAGCGGCUCUCUGGUCUGUCACUGACGNUGAGGCUCGAAAGCGUGGGUAGCGAACAGGAUUAGAUACCCUGGUAGUCCACGCCGUAAACGAUGAGUGCUAGGUGUUAGGCCUUUUCCGGGGCUUAGUGCCGGAGCUAACGCAAUAAGCACUCCGCCUGGGGAGUACGACCGCAAGGUUGAAACUCAAAGGAAUUGACGGGGGCCCGCACAAGCGGUGGAGCAUGUGGUUUAAUUCGAAGCAACGCGAAGAACCUUACCAGGUCUUGACAUCCCGAUGCUAUUCUUAGAGAUAGGAAGUUACUUCGGUACAUCGGAGACAGGUGGUGCAUGGUUGUCGUCAGCUCGUGUCGUGAGAUGUUGGGUUAAGUCCCGCAACGAGCGCAACCCUUAUUGUUAGUUGCCAUCAUUAAGUUGGGCACUCUAGCGAGACUGCCGGUAAUAAACCGGAGGAAGGUGGGGAUGACGUCAAAUCAUCAUGCCCCUUAUGACCUGGGCUACACACGUGCUACAAUGGUCGGUACAACGAGUUGCGAGCCGGUGACGGCAAGCUAAUCUCUGAAAGCCGAUCUCAGUUCGGAUUGGAGGCUGCAACUCGCCUCCAUGAAGUCGGAAUCGCUAGUAAUCGCGGAUCAGCACGCCGCGGUGAAUACGUUCCCGGGCCUUGUACACACCGCCCGUCACACCACGAGAGUUUGUAACACCCGAANU